UGGGGAAUAUUGCACAAUGGGCGCAAGCCUGAUGCAGCCAUGCCGCGUGUAUGAAGAAGGCCUUCGGGUUGUAAAGUACUUCAGCGAGGAGGAAGGCGUUGUGGUUAAUAACCGCAACGAUUGACGUUACUCGCAGAAGAAGCACCGGCUAACUCCGUGCCAGCAGCCGCGGUAAUACGGAGGGUGCAAGCGUUAAUCGGAAUUACUGGGCGUAAAGCGCACGCAGGCGGUCUGUCAAGUCGGAUGUGAAAUCCCCGGGCUCAACCUGGGAACUGCAUCCGAAACUGGCAGGCUAGAGUCUUGUAGAGGGGGGUAGAAUUCCAGGUGUAGCGGUGAAAUGCGUAGAGAUCUGGAGGAAUACCGGUGGCGAAGGCGGCCCCCUGGACAAAGACUGACGCUCAGGUGCGAAAGCGUGGGGAGCAAACA
rnacentral:rRNA from 1 species